AGUCAACGAUUGGAGACCACAAUCUGUUUUUACUAUGCCUCCAAGAAAAAGGACAAUUAUCAUAGCAAAUGUUAUACGUUCUGAUAAAAAAAUUCACAAAGGAAGCAAAGGCUAAUAGAAGAAGAAUUUUGACAAGAAAAAAAAAUGCAUUAACAACAAAUAUUAUAGAUAUUACUGUAACUCGGGAUUUCGGAAGACCAACUUUCAUAUGAGUUUUGUGAUGCAGUUUUGUAGUUUGAAGAAAGGAGUGAACGAAACAAAAAAAAUUCUCAUCGAAAAUUUUCAUUAUGUUGCAUGCAAGGUAAAGUUCAACUUCCUCUAAUGAAAG